rnacentral:rRNA from 1 species
AUUGAACGCUGGUGGCAGGCCUAACACAUGCAAGUCGAGCGAGCGGCGGACGGGUGAGUAAUGUAUGGGGACUGCCCGAUAGAGGGGGAUAACUACUGGAAACGGUGGCUAAUACCGCAUACUAUCGGAUAACCCAUAUUGGAUUAGCUAGUAGGUGGGGUAAAGGCUCACCUAGGCGACGAUCUCUAGCGGGUCUGAGAGGAUGAUAAGACACAAAGGGACUGAGACACGGCCCAGACGCCAACGGAGGCAGCAAUGGGGGAUAUUGCGCAAUGGGCGUAAGCCUGAUGCAGCCAUGCCGCGUGUAUGAAGAAGGCCUUAGGGUUGUAAAGUACUUUCAGCGGGGAGGCGUAACCCGCAGAAGAAGCACCGGCGAACUCCGUGCCAGCAGACGCGGUAAUAC